AACAACUUAAAAGAACAAAGGGCGUAAGUGUCGAUUAUUAGGGACUGAAAGUGGAAGGGCAUUGUGUUAUUUGCAAGUAUAAGCCUUGGCAAUUUAACACCUCCAACUUGGCGGCCACCCCGUUUGAGAGGAAUGGGCACAGCAAACAUCAGGGACAUCUUGACUUGUUUCAGUCCUUCUUUGGAUUUCUUUGCUAUUAGCACCGGUGAUGGCCGUAUCAAGAUAUGGGAUACAGUGAAGGGUCAGGUGCAGACCGAGUUUGCAGAUAUUGUGUCAACUGAAACAGCAAGCUUGUUUACUAAGCCAGGAGGUCAUCUUUCAAUGGAUUAUACUUGCAUGAAGUGGUUAUCAUGUGACAAAAAGAAAAAAAGGAAGCUUGGAACUUCAUUACUGGUCUUAGGUACAGGCAGUGGUGAUGUUUUAGCUCUAGAUGUAUCUGCAGGUCAUCUGAAAUGGAGAUUUAGUGAUUGCCAUCCUGGCGGUGUCAAUGCCAUCUCAUUCCCUUCACAUGGUUCAUUCAUUUACACGACUGGUGCUGAUGGACUGGUUUGCAAAAUUGACUCCAUGUCGGGGAACUUACUGCACAAGUUUAAAGCUUCCACUAAAGCAAUAUCUUCUUUAUCCGUCUCAUCAGAUGGAAAAGUAUUAGCAACAGCAACUUCUCAGUUGAAGAUUUUCACUUGCUUGGAUGACAAAAAGAUCCAGAAGUUUUCAGGCCACCCUGGGGCUGUUCGGUGUAUGGUUUUCUCUGAAGAUGGGAGACAUAUUCUUUCUUCUGCUGUUGGUGACCGGCAUGUAGCAGUUUGGAAGUUAGAUGGUAGCAAAAAGAAAUCAGCGUGCUGCUUGCUUGCAAUGGAUCACCCUGCUGUCUUUUUGGAUUGUUACCACAUUAAAACUGUAGAUGAAAAUGAUGCAAGUUUAGGUGUUUUGGCCAUUUCAGAAAUUGGUGUUUGCUAUUUUUGGCAUGGAAAGAGUUUUGAGGAAUUGCACAAUUCGAAGCCCACACAAAUAUGUGUAUCUUUAGAUGAGAAAAUACUGAAGAAACAUAAAGAAGCCAUGCACAGUAUCUUUUCAGCAAAAUUGCAAUCUAUUGGCAUGUCUGGUUCUGGUCAUAUGUUUGUUGCAUAUGGCUUGUUGAUAAAACCAUCAUUUGAAAAAGUUAUAGUGCAGCCUGGGGCAGAUCUCAGAUUAAAAAGCUUACUUGACGGGAUCCUUCUAUCCUUCAGUCAAUCUCGCAAAUCUAAACAAGCAUCCAACACUCAGAGUCAGGUUACUGCCCUCGAUUGUGCAAAUGCAGAGGGUGCCUUACUUCCCUUGCCUAAGAUUCUUGAUCAGGUUGAUGUCAAGACUGGAAUUAAGCCCACAGCGAGAAAAGAUAUCAUUGGUAAACAAGGUGAAGAUGAGGUCGCAAUUUGCAUGGAGGACCAGUUAAGAUCCUUAGGUAUGAUUAGCAGUGACUAUGAUCUCUCGCCUAGCUCAAUUCUUGACCCUAAAAUUUUGAAAGGAAUAAGUGUUGAUGCUAGUAUGCCACCGAAGAAGAUGAAAGCAGCUGUGUUAUCUAUGGAACCACCUGAUGCGUACAACUUAUUAAAAGCCUUAGUGGCAGCAUGGCAGUCCGGAUCAAGCAUGGGAAGACAUGUUCUUCCAUGGAUAUGUUGUAUAUUGGUGAACCACAAUGAAUUUGUCACAUCACAGGAACCACUGACGUCACUUCUGGAUUCUUUAAACAAGCUUACCAGGUCAAAGGUGGCAGCCCUGAACUCUUUAUUGCAGUUAUCUGGCCGUUUUCAACUUGUAAUGGCACAGAUAGAGAAGGCCGAUAAUAAGAAUGGCCCAGCAUUGACACUCGAGGUCCAGAUAGAUGAAAGUGAGGACGACGAGGUAGAUGAAGUUAUGUAUGGCAUAGAUGAAGAAUCUCAAACGAGCAGCGACGGGGACGAUUAAGACUUUUUGGUCAUUUAGUGACAUGGCAUUUUAAUUGGACUGAUAUAUACUCUUCAUCCUUAAUGCGGUGAUAUCUUCUUCUCGGAUUCAACGCCAAUAAGGAAAAGGUAUCUCCAAACUUCUCAAAACCGAAAAUCCUAAAGGGUUUUAUGUUGCGGACUGUGUUUUGCCACCAUUCACGUGCCAAUUUUGCUAAUAUCAGCCUCGGUACCCUUCAGUAGUCUUGUGGUGCUAACAGAGUGGAUUUAAUAUGACACGCUCUUAAUCAAGUCACUACAGGUAGGCAGUUGCUGUCUCAAGGUUCCCAGCUGGAAUUGUUUGGUAGCGACGGGUUAGCACAACUCUUGAGGGGCGACUCUUUGCAGCGUAGUAAUGGGAGUAUUUGUGAUACUGAAGUCUUUAUCUUAUUUUGUGUGACUUGCUUAGUAGCAUGCGUUGUGAUACCAUCUUCCAUUUUCACUGGCUGAGAGUUCUAUUUCAUUUUUGCUUGUUGAGAAUAUUCAUCGUUAAUUAGGGGCAUAUAGCUUCCUAAGACCUUCCUGUAUUUAUCUUUACACUUUACAAACUGGGAGGAAAUGGUAGACAUUAUUAUCGAUUUCCAGUAACUGUUAAAGUCAACGAUGACCUUGUUAUCAUAUUUAUCUCAUAGUCCAAUUGUGACGUGUAA